GAUGAACGCUGGCGGCGUGCCUAAUACAUGCAAGUCGAGCGAACAGACGAGGAGCUUGCUCCUCUGACGUUAGCGGCGGACGUGUGAGUAACACGUGGAUAACCUACCUAUAAGACUGGGAUAACUUCGGGAAACCGGAGCUAAUACCGGAUAAUAUAUUGAACCGCAUGUUUCAAUAGUGAAAUACGGUUUUUCUGUCACUUAUAGAUUGAUCCGCGCCGCAUUAGCUAGUUGGUAAGGUAACCGCUUACCAAGGCAACGAUUCGUAGCCGACCUGAGAGGAGGAGCGGCGAAACUGGAACUGAGAAAGGGAAAAGACACAUACGGGAGGCAGAAGUAGGGAAUAGUCCGAAAUGGGCGAAAGAAGGACGGAGCAAAGCCGCGUGAGUGAAGAAGGUCAUCGGAUCGUAAAACUCUGUUAUUAGGGAAGAAAAAAUGUGUAAGUAACUAUGCACGUAUUGACGGUACCAAAUAAGAAAGCAACGGCUAACUACGUG
rnacentral:rRNA from 1 species